UUGGUCGUUUACAUCGUCACCCUACAGCUAAACUGCGGUUGCAAGUAUACCCCAGCAGAUGGCAGUGUGGAACAGCAGUUCACAGUGAGGAGGCCAUUUUCUCUGAGCUGCAGUGAUUGGCUUUCUUACUGGAUCUGGGAAGGUUUGCCCCAGAGACCCAGUGCUGCUCAUGGUGAUUUAUUUUUAUUCCCACCUUGGACAUACACAGACCAGAUGAUCUGUGUCCCAGCUGCUCAGAGCUAAUCGAUCUCCAUGUGGAGACGGUAUAUGACUCCCCGCCCAUCCUGUCAUUGGUCUGCGGAAGGUUCCGGAGCCUGCUGACGGUGCGAGGCGGGAAAGAGGCGGUCCUCUGCUGGCAUUCAGCCUGUCCGCCCGCACCUGGGGGGGGUGUUGGACGGGUCCCGAGUGAGUGACGCACCGCGGGAACCUGUCACUCACGCGUGAGAACGCACCGGCGACAGCUGAGCUUCUGCUCCAGCAUGGCAGGCCAGCCAUGGAACAGGAGCCUCUCCCACCCCCAGGCAGCCUGUCUCUCCAGAACACCUCAUCAGAGUCACUGAAAGCUGCACUGGCCGCUGAACCACAGGGAACGCUGCUCCCCUUCCAAGGUGACCUGGAGCACCUGAGCACCUGAGCACCUGGGGCGGAGGUGAACCUGAGGAGACACGUCAUUUAACUUCAGAGGAGUGGAGUCCCAUCGGCACCUACAGG